rnacentral:tRNA from 1 species
GUCCCUGUAGUGCAAUGGAUAGCGCGUUGGACUUCGCAUCCAAAGGUCGUGGGUUCGAAUUCCACUUGGGAUG